CUACUGCUUUGCAUUCCGGAUCCGGUAAUCAGCUGAAGAAUCUGGGAAGUUGGCGAUUGUUCUGUGAAGCAAAUAGAUCGAUAAUUAGAGGGGCCCUGCAUUUGUACAAUUUGUGGAAUAUCGACUCGUGAAGGUGCCAGUUGUUGCCGUCCUGCCAAUGUCGGGAGUACCAGUCCACCUGUAGCGUGAUGCAUGAGAGACAGAAACUGUAAAUGUCUUUCGUUCCAUCUGAUAGUGCCCAAGAGCGGGCUCUGCUCAGACAAUUGAUAUAUUGUACCACUGAG